CAAGAUCCCCCAAAAUAAGCAUAUUUUGGAAUGAUAUUGUAUGGAAGAUUGAGUUUUAUUAUUAUUCGAACUCGAAGCAUAAUUAAUUAUCUCAAAUUACACAUCAAAAUUUUCAUUUGAUCAAGCUCUCACUUGUUCACCUUUAAAUGCUAGGCAUACUUCUCGCGAAGCUAAACACCAAUCUUCUAUAUAAUAUCAUCACCAAUGAUCAUCACAUUUUCAAAUAUUCGGCUCAAAAUUAACUAGAUUUGUAGAAUUUAAAGUGAUGAGCAGUAUAAUUUGAAACCAUAAACAUCAGUUUAUUUUGUGUUUAUACUUAAUGAUGCAAAAUCUGAAUACGAAAAUAAAAGUUUGAAUUUUGGAAAAUAAAAGAGUAUCACAAAAGUGGUGCCUCUAAUUUAAAAGAUACCUGUAUAAAAAAAAAUUAAUUCGGAACAACAAUGACUACUAUUACGAAACAGGCCAAAGAUUUAUAAAAAGGAAAAAGGAAAUUCGUAAAAAUAAGGAUAGAUUAUUUUGUUUCAAGGAAAAAUAUAAUCGUUGAUUAUGACUGAGGAAAAUUCUAUUUACAAUGAUUUCGAGAAUAUUACACCAAUGAUUCAGAAUAAGCGAUAAUAAGACCAACUAUCAAACUAUCCACAAUGACGCGAUAAUCAACUUUCAAGUUCGGAUGCAGCCAAUCAUUUAACUACCAACUUAGUGAUCGAUAAUACGAUAACUUUAGAUGAUGCAAAGCAAAUGAUCCAUUAUGCUAUGAUGUACUAGCGAAAUUGCUAAAGACCGAUAACUCGACGAUGAAAAAAUGAUGAACAAUACGACCGAUCAAUUAAUGGUGUCAACAACAAUAUGAAAAUUGACAUAUUACAAAGAAUAAUAGUUUUUUUUUAAAAAAAUUUUGAAUUCGUGUCCUGAGAAUGCCUCUUAAAAAUAAGGGAGGUGUUCUAGGCAUAUGUUUAUUUUUUUAUUAUUAUUAAAAUAUUAUUGAUUUUUUUAAUGUAUAAAAUAUAUUAUUGAUUUUUUUAAUGUAUAAAAUAUAUUAUUGAUUUUUUUUUAUUGGUUUUAAAAAGAAAAUAAAAGUUUGA